CGAAUGAAAAUAGUGUGACACUUUUUAAACCACAUCUUUGAGAUGUAACUAUAAGUUACUAUCGUGAAGUACGAUUGUGGAUUACACCCACGGUGUAAAACCAGCACAACUAAAUUCCCCCCCCCCCUCCUCCCGUUAUUUGUUUAAGAGGAUGCAACAUCUGCACUGCUGUCUUGUGAUUUUAACUAACUGGCUAUAUAAUGAAAUUUCUUUAAUAAUUUAACGUAAAUUGCAAAAUUAUUAGAGUUUGAACACAAAUUGAAUAGGUAACAAAAUUUAAAAGAAUAUCUCCG